CCCUUGGCCACCUGAAGAGGAAACUGUGUUACUGAAAAUAAAAAUGUUUCUUCAUUUGAGUUCUUAUAAAAUCAUGGAAUGUUAGAAGGUGACCCAAUCCCACCUCUCACGUUACCAGCAAGAAAACGGAGAUACAGAAAAGGCCAGCUUUGGCACCUGGCUUCAUAGAAUUGCCGUGGAUGUACCACUCCAGCCCUGAAACAGGUCCCCGGAUCUGCCCCCUCUGGUCCCCAUAGGGCUGGGACGCUAAGACACCUAGUGGUUAAAGAGAAGAUCCCUCCCUUAAGAGGCUUACGACUGUAACCAGGAAAACAAGUGCACUGCUCACAAUAGUAAAAAGGAAGGAGAGGGCUCUAAAAAUUGCUGGGCAAUUUCAAAGAAGAGAAGAUGACUGUGAAAGUAGAUGACGAGACUGUCGAAGGAACAGCUCCUGGAAUCUAGACUCUUCUCCAUUACUUCUUAGCUCUUGUCUCUGGUUGUGAUUUGGCUCAGCAGAAGAUGGACGAAGACCCUAUCAAUCGAAUGAAAUAAUUGUAUUUAUUUUUUUUUUAUUAAAAAAAUUUUUUUAACGUUUAUUUAUUUUUGAGACAGAGAGAG